CUUACAGGCUCGGGUGUUUGGCGUGCAGAUGGCGAGGUAUCCGGUCACGCAGGCCGACACAGACGAGAGGACAGCCAUGUUACUGGGAGGCUGUUGACGCAUUUGACAGUGAGCUCCACAAAAUAUGUAUUCCUCGGCAAAUCAAACCCAAGGAGGACAGCUGUACAAGUUUCAGCAGUCUCCAGUGGGUGGUUCUACAUUUGGCUGCAAUGUUUGGAGACAACAAGGAUGAGGGCAGCAAACUCCCCAGCUGACAGUGACACAGCCCAUUACUCCUUAUUACUACUUCCACUGAUUAGUGGAAAUUUUUUCGCGUUUAUCGAUUGGACGAAUCGACCAGCCGGAUUCUGCUGCCUGCAACUAGGCCCCGGAGGAGGCGACCAGGUGUAUUCCGCUCCCCGCAGCUAGACUCCUGGGUCACAACCGCGGCUUGGCUGUCCGACGAACCCACUGCGUCCAGAAUCCAGGAUUUCUUCGGCCCGACUGCUGACGCCUAAAGGGGAAGUACCCACAUGUCUCCAUAAUAAGAACGCAUCACUGUGCGCAACAGAGUAGCAAGUCUGUUGAUUAUUGUCUCGCGCUCCCCGCAUCGCAAGAGGUGGGCUACGGCAGAACAGAGCGGUAUUAUACGGAACCGGCAGCGGCGACUAAUAGAGUUGGCAUACGCCAAAGGACCACUACGAGAGACACCCCCUGGUUUAUAAAGGACAGAAAGACACUACGUUUUUACUAUUGUACAUUUUAUCAGGUUGGAUUUAUUAAAGCCUAU